AGUGAACGCUGGCGGUAGGCCUAACACAUGCAAGUCGAACGGCAGCACAGUAAGAGCUUGCUCUUACGGGUGGCGAGUGGCGGACGGGUGAGGAAUACAUCGGAAUCUACUUUUUCGUGGGGGAUGACGUAGGGAAACUUACGCUAAUACCGCAUACGGCCUACGGGUGAAAGCAGGGGAUCUUCGGACCUUGCGCGAUUGAAUGAGCCGAUGUCGGAUUAGCUAGUUGGCGGGGUAAAGGCCCACCAAGGCGACGAUCCGUAGCUGGUCUGAGAGGAUGAUCAGCCACACUGGAACUGAGACACGGUCCAGACUCCUACGGGAGGCAGCAGUGGGGAAUAUUGGACAAUGGGCGCAAGCCUGAUCCAGCCAUACCGCGUGGGUGAAGAAGGCCUUCGGGUUGUAAAGCCCUUUUGUUGGGAAAGAAAAGCAGCAGGUUAAUACCCCGCUGUUCUGACGGUACCCAAAGAAUAAGCACCGGCUAACUUCGUG
rnacentral:rRNA from 1 species